rnacentral:rRNA from 1 species
CAGCCGUAAACUAUGCUCGCUAGGUGUCGGGCAUGGCGCGACCGUGUCUGGUGCCGCAGGGAAGCCGUGAAGCGAGCCACCUGGGAAGUACGGCCGCAAGGCUGAAACUUAAAGGAAUUGGCGGGGGAGCACAACAACGGGUGGAGCCUGCGGUUUAAUUGGACUCAACGCCGGACAACUCACCGGGGGACGACAGCAAUAUGUAGGCCAGGCUGAAGACCUUGCCUGAAUCGCUGAGAGGAGGUGCAUGGCGUAGACGUCU